rnacentral:tRNA from 1 species
GGUUGUGGCUCAGUGGUAGAGUGCUUGCCUAGCAUGCAGAGGCACUGAGUUCGAUCACCAGUACCA